ensembl:lncRNA
GCACCAUCUUGUUCCUGAUCGCUGUCCCGUGAGGUUUUCCAAGCCAGGAAAUAUUUUAUGCAAUACAUAACUGUCAAUGUUUAGAGCUUUGUGUUUGUGUCUUUCAGGAAUGAGGGGAGAGCUGAGUCUUGUGGCCAAAUCUUACUCCAAUUUACACCAAUAUUAAUUCAAAGUCAAGCUGUGGUUUGCAGUAGAAUGACUCCAGUUUUAUGCUGUUAGAUCAGAAUUUGCUCUUUUUUUUUUUUUUUCCCAAACAGAAGUUUAAGGAAGCAAAGCAUUUCCCAAGAGCUGCCUCCCCAGAUCUCUGCUGCAUCGGGAACGUAUUGCUCUAUUUCCACGGUCAGAUACAUCCUGCUUUAACAGAGCAUCCUCAAGGACCCCCAGCAAAAGUCACAGCACCCACCCUGAUGAGUAUGGUGUGAAAAGUGGCUGCUGGGUUUGGUCACUGGUUUGUUGGGAACAGAACAUGGAGCUGGUGGGACAGAGCAGGACUGGAUGGUGCCUUUGUGGUUCUGCAGUGCAGCCCCAGGUCCCCAUGCAUGUCCCCAUCUUCCAAAGUGGCCCACGCACUGCUGUCCUGGGUUGUCUCUUGCAGCAAGUGUCAACACUCUGGAAUUCAGCAUUUCUUUCUCUCUUUUGUCCCCAAAAUGUCAAAUUGGAGGCACAAAUAGAUGGCACAAAAAAAAGAGCUCAUUUUGCCAUUUCACCAGGAAAGGCUCUGCGGUAAUUCAAAGUGUUCUAUUCAGGAUUCAUCUGCAGCAAAAUUUCCUUCUGCCUCGAACCUGUCAAGUGCCAAUAUUCAUUUUAAUGAUCUCAUUUUAUAAAUAAUGGAAAGAAAAACAAUACAUUCAAUAGAAAUGAGAUUAGAAAUGGGAGGGGAAUGAAUUACAAAUGCAAGAGUCUGUAGUUGUUCCAAGGAAGAUAAAUCUCAUUUUAAGUGGUCUCCAGUGAAACAGCAUCUUGGUAAGGAUAAAACAAGCAAACAACUAAAACCCACAAAAAAGCCCACGUCUUUUGCUGAUAAAGAAAGGUGGAUGGCAGCAGCAGGGAGUGUUUGCUGACACAGGUCAGUUGUCACAGUAUCUUGAGACCAGUGAUACGUAGGUUUUCUUCUUGGCCUUGCCAUGGCCUCCCUGUGAUAAAUCAUUUAACAGCUGGUGCCAGCAUUGCAGGACAAUCUGGAAAAUCAAACUCCAGUGAACAAACCUGCAGAUGACAUCAAGAAGCAAUGCUCGGGGCAGCAGCCACUGCCAGGCUUCCACCUCAGCAGGAUAUUUGAAGCCUGGCUCACACCAUGAGUUGCUCUGGAUGUGCUGAUGGCUGGUUUCGGUGGCAAGAUGGAUAGAGCCUGGAGGAGGUGCUGGCGUGACCCCCAGCCUGCUGGCCACACCAGCCCUCUGUGCACAGUCACAAUGUGAUUUCUUUCUGUGGAGUAACGAAGGAAGACAAAUGCUGCUUUCCUGUAGACGUUUGAGGGAGCUGGGGUUUGCCAUAAGUGCAGUCAUAUACAAAUAUGCCUGGAGGAAAUUAUGGCAUCUUUGUGGAUUUCUGUGCGGUUGAUAUUAUAUCUGAACCAACCUAAAUAGAGCCAGGGGAAGAGCACACAUGCAGAGCUUUUGAAGGAACAAGAAGGCAGCAUCAUUUAUUAGGCAAUAUUAAGAACUUUUCUGAAAUAAUACAACCUUACAUCAGAACAAACACUUUCUCUCAAACAUUACUAUGAGUGGCUUUCAUGAACUGCAUAAUUUCCAGUUCCAUGGAGCUCAGAAUUGCAGGAGCUGCUCCCAGUGGAGCUGCACAUGGCCGCCAGCUCCAUGACUUUCUACCCAAUGCUGCUUGUGCAUCAAACCCAUUUGGGCUGAUCACCGUGGAACUGUGGGCAUGUUCUGCCCUUGGCUCUGCCUUGGGUGGAACCAUGGGUGUGUGUCACUCCUUGCUUUCCCUUGGGGAG